CGCGGGGGUAGGGCGAGGGACGGGACGAUCGAAACCGCACGAAAAGUACACUCCUCCCACUUUUCCGUACACGGUUCGGGCGAGUCCAUCGUAGCCGUUUCGCGGGGUACGGAACCGUGUGCGGACACCGGUUUUUUGGACGUGACUCAACAUCUACUAGGCCACCGCAUUGCCAGUUCUCUCUCUCUCGGUCCCGCGCGCGACUCCGGCCGCCGGCUCGGCCCCUCUCGCUUCAACGGUCGGUCUUUCCACUCGUCUCGUCGGUAGGUACGCACGCAUAAGAGCCGCCACCGGUAUGAU